CCUACGGGGGGCAGCAGUGGGGAAUAUUGGGCAAUGGGCGCAAGCCUGACCCAGCAACGCCGCGUGAAGGAAGAAGGCUUUCGGGUUGUAAACUUCUUUUUUCAGGGAAGAGUAGAAGACGGUACCUGACGAAUAAGCCACGGCUAACUACGUGCCAGCAGACGCGGUAAUACGUAGGUGGCAAGCGUUUUCCGGAAUUACUGGGUGUAAAGGGCGUGUAGCCGGGUUGACAAGUCAGAUGUGAAAUCCUGCGGCUUAACCGCAGAACUGCAUUUGAAACUGUUGAUCUUGAGUACUGGAGAGGCAGAUGGAAUGCGUAGUGUAGCGGUGAAAUGCGUAGAUAUUAGGAGGAACACCAGUGGCGAAGGCGGUCUGCUGGACAGCAACUGACGGUGAGGCGCGAAAGCGUGGGGAGCAAACAGGAUUAGAUACCCUUGUAGUC
rnacentral:rRNA from 1 species